ACGGGUGAGUAACACGUGGAUAACCUACCUAUAAGACUGGGAUAACUUCGGGAAACCGGAGCUAAUACCGGAUAAUAUUUUGAACCGCAUGGUUCAAAAGUGAAAGACGGUCUUGCUGUCACUUAUAGAUGGGUCCGCGCUGCAUUAGCUAGUUGGUAAGGUAACGGCUUACCAAGGCAACGAUGCAUAGCCGACCUGAGAGGGUGAUCGGCCACACUGGAACUGAGACACGGUCCAG
rnacentral:rRNA from 1 species